rnacentral:rRNA from 1 species
GACGAACGCUGGCGGCGUGCUUAACACAUGCAAGUCGAACGGAAAGGCCCUGCUUUUGUGGGGUGCUCGAGUGGCGAACGGGUGAGUAACACGUGAGUAACCUGCCCUUGACUUUGGGAUAACUUCAGGAAACUGGGGCUAAUACCGGAUAGUAGCUCCUGCUGCAUGGUGGGGGUUGGAAAGUUUCGGCGGUUGGGGAUGGACUCGCGGCUUAUCAGCUUGUUGGUGGGGUAGUGGCUUACCAAGGCUUUGACGGGUAGCCGGCCUGAGAGGGUGACCGGCCACAUUGGGACUGAGAUACGGCCCAGACUCCUACGGGAGGCAGCAGUGGGGAAUAUUGCACAAUGGGCGGAAGCCUGAUGCAGAAACGCCGCGUGCGGGAUGACGGCCUUCGGGUUGUAAACCGCUUUCGCCUGUGACGAAGCGUGAGUGACGGUAAUGGGUAAAGAAGCACCGGCUAACUACGUG